GUGCCAGCAGCCGCGGUAAGACGAACCGUGCGAACGUUGUUCGGAAUCACUGGGCUUAAAGGGCGCGUAGGCGGAUAUCCAAGUCAGGGGUGAAAUCUUUCAGCUUAACUGGAAAAUGGCCUUUGAUACUGGAUGUCUGGAGUGAGGUAGGGGCAUGCGGAACUUCCGGUGGAGCGGUGAAAUGCGUAGAUAUCGGAAGGAACACCGGUGGCGAAGGCGGCGUGCUGGACCUCAACUGACGCUGAGGCGCGAAAGCCAGGGGAGCAAACGGGAUUAGAUACCCCGGUAGUCC
rnacentral:rRNA from 1 species